UACAGAGGGUGCAAGCGUUGCUCGGAAUUAUUGGGCGUAAAGGGCUCGUAGGCGGUCUGUCGCGUCGGGAGUGAAAACUCAGGGCUUAACCCUGAGCCUGCUUCCGAUACGGGCAGACUAGAGGUAUGCAGGGGAGAACGGAAUUCCUGGUGUAGCGGUGAAAUGCGCAGAUAUCAGGAGGAACACCGGUGGCGAAGGCGGUUCUCUGGGCAUUACCUGACGCUGAGGAGCGAAAGCGUGGGGAGCAAACAGG
rnacentral:rRNA from 1 species